rnacentral:lncRNA from 1 species
GCACACCCUCAUGCCGCGCGGCGAACGUUCGUUGCCAGGUGCGGCAGCCCGCCCUGGGCGCCUCCUGCCUGCGGAAGAAGAGCAGGACAGACCCGACCCGACCCGCCUAGUCCUUUCCUUCACAGCAGCCUCCAAACUCCACCGCUCGCCUCUUCCGCCAGGCUCCUAGGAUGAGGCCCAGGGCUCCUGGAGCAGCCAGGUGCAAACCAGACCGGGCUCGCACUCCACUGCGUUGCCCUGGGCGAUCGUCCACGUUCUGGGAGACUCGGUAUGCCCCGGGAGGGUGGCCUGAGCUUGUGGUGUGAAGCCAGGUACAGAGCUCCAGAAUCCUGGCCUUGCCAUGGCUGUGUGACCCUGGGCAAGUGACUCAAUUUCUCUGCCUCAGUGUCCUCAUCUAUAAAAUGGAAAGGAAAAUAGUAGCGCUUGUCUCCUCCGGCUGUUAUGAAGAUCCAAGGUUAACAGCGUAGAGAACUCGGAACGCACCCGGCAUCUAGGAAGUGCCAAGCCAGUGUCAGCUAAUGUGACUAUUUUUAAAUGGAGAUGGGGAGUGUGCCAUUAUUCUUGUCCUUAUUUGAAUGAACGGGCCCUCAGGGACCAUUUUCCACUGCCCCGCCCUGGCAGCAUGAGAGGGAAACGCUGUGAGAACCCCGAACCCCAGCCUUCUCCUGUCCCUCUCUCUCUCUCUCUCUCUCUGCACCUGGGAGGCGGGGAGGAGAGAGCCGAUCCUUCCACCAUUUACACGGAGAAUGAAAGAAGAAAUACCGGCCAGGCGCGGUGGCUCAUGCCUGUAAUCCCAGCACUUUGGGAGGCCGAGGGGGCAGAUCACCUGAGGUCAGGAGUUCGAGACCAGCCUGGCCAACAUGGCGAAACUCCGUCUCUACUAAAAGUACAAAAAUUAGCCUGGCGUGGUGCCGGGUGCCUAUAAUCCCAGCUACUCAGGAGGCUGAGGCAGGAGAAUCCCUUGAACCCGGGAGGCGGAGGUUGCAGUGAGCCGAGAUCACGCCACUGCACUCCAGCCUGGGUGACAAGAAUGAGUCUCAAAAAAACAAAAAAGAAGAAGAAGAAGAAAUACCACACAGGUCCGACCAAGAGCUGCCCCCACUCAGGCCAGGAUCCCUGCCUGGAAGGGCUCUGCAGCCACUCUCCCUGUACAGCCCCAGGAUGCUAAGGAGCAUCCCGAAGUGACACUGGCUCUCCCUGGAGGCCCCUGCCAUCGGACUCCAACCUGACCUUCCAGUGGGUGCUCCUCAUACUGGCUCCAGCCAAGACAGACGAGGACCACUGGGCACAUGCCCUUCCUUGCCUUCCUGUCACCCUUCCCACCCUUCUCUGCGGGCCCCGGGUGGCCCCUUCCUCCAGGAAGCACCUGGGGAUCAGCAGUGCCUCUAGGGUCCCAGUGGCCCACGUGACAUCUGCUUCUGGCCACCUGAGCACUCUCCUUUGAGUUCAGGGUCACUGUACCCUUUUAUAGGUAGGCCAGCGGAGCCUCAUGCAGGUAGUGCCAGCGCAAGACACACGAGUGAACCAUCUAUCCAGUUACCAGCUCCAUGAGGGAUGGGAUCUGUUCUUUUGCCUCCAUCAACUCCUGGAGUCUAUCAUAGGCCUGACACACAGUAGGUACUCAAUAAGUGUUUGCUGCAUUUAUUUUAACGUACUUUUCUUUUUUUUCUUUUAAAACGGAGUUUCGCUCUUGUUGCCCAGGCUGGAGUCCAAUGGCGCAAUCUCAGCUCACUGUAACCUCCGCUUCCUGGGUUCAAGUGAUUCUCCUGCCUCAGCCCCGCUAGUAGCUGGCAUUACAGGCAUGCGCCACCACGCCUGGCUAAUUUUGUGUUUUUAGUAGAGAUGGGGUUUCUCCAUGUUGAUCAGGCUGGUCUCAAACUCCCAACCUCAGGUGAUCUGCCUGCCUCGGCCUCCCAAAGUGCUGAGAUUACAGGCGUGAGCCACCGUGCCUGGCUUUAACUUACUUUUCUUUGGCACUUAACUAUGUACCCUGCACAGUUAAAUGCAUUUUAAUAAGUUAACCCUUUUCAUCCCGACAACACCCCUAUGAGAUUGGUACAAUUAUUUCUUCCGUUUUAUAGAAGGUAAAACCGAGCCACAGAGAAGUUAAGUAACUUCCCCAAGGUCACUCAGCUGGCAGAUAGUAGAGCUGGAAUUCAAACCUAGGCCACCUGGCUCCAGAGGUUACAAUCUUGAAUGAGGGGAUUCUGGGUGGGCGAUUGCCAGACAAAAAAACCCAGCCCCAAGGAGAGAAAGGAGGAGAAGGAGGCAAGAAGAGCCCCAACCUCAGCCCCAGGGAGAGGUGGCAGAUGAGGUGGAAAAGGGAUGGUCAGACCGGAGAAGGGGCCAGGAGGAGCCAAUGCCAAAGCUAGAGGCAUGCACAGGGUGGAGAGAGCUCAGUGCGGGAGGCCACAGACCCUAGCUCCACCUCAGCCCUGUGGCUUCCCAGUUGUGUGACUUGGGCCUGCAGGCCUGCUCUCUGAGCCUCAGUUUCCUCAUUGUAAUAUGAGAUAAAAUACACCCUGCCUCAAUGAGCCAUUCUGAGGAGAGGAGAAGUCUCGAACUGGAGGCCUUAAACCGAAUCCAGCUCCCAGAUGUGCUUCUUUGGCUGUCACUGAGCUUUAAUGUGUUUGGAGUUAAUUUUUAUGAAUAAAAGCUUGGAAGAUUUCACAUUUAAAAAAUCUGGCCAGGCUGGGCAACAAAGUAAAAUUCCAUCUCUAUGAAAAUUUUUUUUAGAAAUUCGCCGGGUAUGGUGGUGCAUGCCUAUGGUCCCAGCUACUCAGGAGGCUGAGGCAGGAGGAUCACUUGAGCCCGGGAGGUGAAGGCUGCGGGAAGAGUUUGUCUCGUCUAUCAGGCCACCAACAAGAGUUGUUGCAAUGCCUGUGGGAGGUGCAGCCCACGCUGGGCCACCUGGCCAGCUCAGGGAUCCUGCUGGAGAUCGAGGAUUGUCUGGUCGGCCUCUUACAACUCUCAGAACAUCAUCCCUGGGAGCAGCCCUGAAGAGACCAAGGAAUGGAAAAACAGAUGGAAGGACUGCAACUCACAGGUGAAAAGGAACCGGCUACGAGAGGCUCCAAACCAAGGGAGCAGCGGAGUUUGUCUCCAAAACACCGAGCCCAGUGAGAGAAGCCAGAGCCACAGACCAGAUGCCCUGCAGUGGGUCCCUUUACAUGGCCUUCAAAGUCAGGCAGAGUGAAUUGAGGGCCAUGGGAAUAGGAGCAGUGGUUGCCUCCAGAGGUGAAGUGGGAUGGGGUGAGGUGGUGUGGGGUGGUGUGGGGUGGGUGGGGUAUGAGAGAACCUGCGGGAUGGGAAGGGGCUCCAUCCUUACCUGGGGCAGGUCACUCCAGUGUGUGCUGUCGCGUUUCACUGUAGGAAGUGUAGACCUCAGUAAAAAUCCCAAGGAAAACCCCCAGACCCACUCAGGCUUCCUUCCUGCUUUGAACCACCUCAUGGCCCCCACCACACUGCCACUAAGCCACACUCCUGGCAGCCUCUGAGAUACCCCCUACCUGACCCUCCGCCACUCUCCUCCUCUGCCUCCCUCACUCCCAGCCUCUCUGGCCCCCUGGCUUUCCCUCCAACUCCAGGCUCCCCUCUCUCUGCCUCAGGGCCUUUGCCCCUGUCUUGCUCCCUGCCCCAGGCUCUUCCCCUCAGCCCUUCCCAGGUCUGGCUCCUUCUCCCUAGGCCUCAGCUCCAGUGUCUCAUCCCCAGAGACCUUCCCAGACCACCAUGUCUCAGACAGCCCCGGCUGCCUCCUGCCUGCCCUGCACCAGCCCUGAGCCAUCGCCUCAUUUUAUUCUCAUUCUAACUUGGAUAAUGGGAUCUGCCUCUUACCAACUGUGACCUUAGGCACAGGAUCAGCCCCAAAUUGAGCCUCAUUUUGUCCAUCUGUAAAAUGAGGAUGGCACUAGAGCCCCGUCUAGGGUGAAUGUGAAGGUCAGAGCCUGCACAAGUUGCUCAAUCAAGAAGAAGCUGCCAGGCACAGUGGCUUGUGCCUGUAACCCCAGAACUUUGAGAGGCUGAGCGGGGUGGAUCACCCAAAGUCAGGAGUUCAAGACCAGCCUGGCCAACAUGGUGAAAUGCCGUCUCUACUAAAAAUACAAAAAUUCGCUGGGUGUGGUGGUGGGUGCUUGUAAUCCUAGCUACUCAGGAGGCUGAGACAGGAGAAUCCCUUGAACCCAGAGGCAGAGGUUACAGUGAGCCGAGAUCGUGCCACUGCCCUCCAGCCUGGGCAACAAAGAGUGAAACUCUUGUCUAAAAAAAAAAAGAAGAAGAAGAAGGAGAAGGAGAAGGAGCGGGAGAAGGAGAAGAAGAAGAAGAAGAAGAAGCCUCAGUGAAGUGCUCCAGCAUCUUCACCCCCUUGGUCACUUGCUCAUCUCCUUGAUGAACAAAAGCGGCCCCAGAUCAGAGCCAUCGAGCACCUGCAGCCAGCAAGGUUGGCUGGUUUUCAUUGUGUGCAUUUUUAAGGCGUCUUCUAUUUAUAGAAAGGAUUGUGGUCUUGCAUUUGUAGCAGCGAUGAAAGCUUUACUUUUUGGCAAAAUGUGUGCAAGUUGUUUAGAAGUGAGUCUGUUUGAAAAAAAAAAUUAAAUGAAUAAUGAUUUAGGAGGUGAGUUUGUUUCCUAGGGCUGCUGUGAUGAAGUGCCA